CCUACGGGGGGCAGCAGUGAGGAAUAUUGGUCAAUGGGAGGUAUCCUGAACCAGCCAUGCAGCGUGCAGGACGACGGCUCUACGAGUUGUACACUGCUUUUGUACCGGGGUAAAAUGCUCUACGAGUAGGGUUUUGAAAGUACGGUACGAAUAAGGAUCGGCUAACUCCGUGACAGCAGCCGCGGUAAUACGGAGGAUCCGAGCGUUAUCCGGAUACAUUGGGUUGAAAGGGUGCGUAGGUUGUUUUAUAAGUUAGCUGUGAAAUACUGAUGCUCAACAUCGGAGCUGCCGCUGAUACUGUAGGACGUGAGAUCGGAUGCAGCAGGCGGAAUGUGUAGUGUAGCGGUGAAAUGCAUAGAUAUUACACAGAACACCGAUUGCGAAGGCAGCUUGCUAGGCUGGAUCUGACACUGAUGCACGAAAGUGUGGGGAUCGAACAGGAUUAGAUACCCUAGUAGUC
rnacentral:rRNA from 1 species